AUGAAUAAUUUUCAAACGUUCAGUUACAGACUGCCUCUGUUUCUUCCUUUGUUGUAUAACCUAGGAUUUGAGGACGGGCUGGAGCAGAGCACUAGGAUUUGGGGAAAGGGGUUUUGGUUAUGUCUGAAAUCUCCAGAACUGGAUUGGCUAAACUCUGAUCGAUUUUCAGAACCCCUCAAUAGUUCAGUCUGUGCUUAUGAGGCUGGUGCCCCUGGCUGCAUAUCCAUCAACAGUGGCUGGGGAGGUAAGUGUUCGAUUUGCCUCAUGCUUCUUUUUUGAUCUGUGGUUGUGAGGCCUACUCAUUCUGUUUUUAUACAGGGUAGGAUAAUUUGGGGUAAAUCCUGGUACUGCCACUGUAAAUUUAUACAAUUUUCUAUGCAAUUUCCCUGGGGAGUUAGAAAGUUAAAAAGCCAUCUGAGGGGACAGUCCUGUGGCCUAGUGGUCAAGGUCAGUGUGCUCUGCUUCUGCAGCCCAGAUUCGUGGGUUCAUAUCCCUGGUGCUGACCUACACCACUUAUCAGCCACGCUGUGGUGGAAUCUGCAUACAAAGUAGAGGAAGAUUGGCACAGAUGUUAACUCAGGGCUAAUCUUCCUCAAACAAAAGAAAGGAGGUGAAAUUGGAAACAGAUGUUAGCUGAGGGCUAAUCUUCCACAGAAAAAAUAAAACACAAUAAAGUAACCA
rnacentral:lncRNA from 1 species